CCUACGGGGAGCUGCAGUGAGGAAUAUUGGUCAAUGGCCGGAAGGCUGAACCAGCCAUGCCGCGUGAAGGUCAGUGCCCUAUGGGCGUUAAACUUCUUUUGUGCGGGAGCAAUAAUGGUCACGUGUGGCCAGACGAGAGUACCGUACGAAUAAGCAUCGUCUAACUCCGUGCCAGCAGCCGCGGUAAUACGGGGGAUGCAAGCGUUAUCCGGAUUUAUUGGGUUUAAAGGGUGCGUAGGCUGUGAGGUAAGUCAGCGGUGAAAUGCCCCCGCUCAACGGGGUGAAGUGCCAUUGAUACUGGCUGGCUGGAAUGCGGAUGCCGUGGGAGGAAUGUGUGGUGUAGCGGUGAAAUGCAUAGAUAUCACACAGAACACCGAUUGCGAAGGCAUCUCACGAAUCCGCGAUUGACGCUGAUGCACGAAAGCGUGGGUAUCAAACAGGAUUAGAUACCCCGGUAGUC
rnacentral:rRNA from 1 species